rnacentral:rRNA from 1 species
CGAAGGGGCGAGCGUUGUUCGGAUUUACUGGGCGUAAAGGGCGCGCAGGCGGCUUUGUUUGUCAGGCGUGAAAGCCCCGGGCUUAACCUGGGAACUGCGUUUGAUACGGCAGGGCUAGAGUUCGGGAGAGGAGAGUGGAAUUCCCAGUGUAGAGGUGAAAUUCGUAGAUAUUGGGAAGAACACCGGUGGCGAAGGCGGCUCUCUGGACCGAGACUGACGCUGAGGCGCGAAAGCGUGGGGAGCAAACAGGAUU